AACGCUGGCGGCGUGCCUAACACAUGCAAGUCGAACGCGAAAGCCCCGCAAGGGGUGAGUAGAGUGGCAAACGGGUGAGUAACACGUGGGUGAUCUGCCUCAGAGUGGGGGAUAACGACCCGAAAGGGUCGCUAAUACCGCAUAACAUCCUGCCUUUGGAUAGGUGGAGAUCAAAGUUGGGGAUCCGCAAGGACCUGGCGCUUGGAGAGGAGCCCGCGGCCGAUUAGCUAGUUGGUGAGGUAACGGCUCACCAAGGCGACGAUCGGUAUCCGGCCUGAGAGGGCGGACGGACACACUGGGACUGAGACACGGCCCAGACUCCUACGGGAGGCAGCAGUGGGGAAUUGUUCGCAAUGGGCGCAAGCCUGACGACGCAACGCCGCGUGGAGGACGAAGAUUUUCGGAUCGUAAACUCCUUUCGAUCGGGAAGAACAGCUUUCGGGUUAAUAGCCCGGGAGUCUGACGGUACCGAGAGAAGAAGCCCCGGC
rnacentral:rRNA from 1 species